ensembl:lncRNA
CUGGGGUCACUAAGGUUGCAAAUUUGGAUUUUAAAACUGAAUACAUUUUAUUCUUUCUAAAAUACAUUCAGUUAUUAAAUAAUUAAAUAACUACCUUGUAAAACAAUUAUAAAAAUGUGUGAAAUUUCCUUUCUUUUGAUACAUUUUUGUUAAAAUAUUAUAAGUAAAUGAAAAUAGCUAUUUAACCCCAGCAUAUUUCUUCAGCUCAUCAGCCAGUCAAAUUGUAGGCGGUCAUCCCAGUCGGUGUCCUCAUUGGCGCUGCUCAUUAAAUCUGUAGUUUGGUAAAAGGUGGUUAGCACAUGUGGACUUUCCAUCUGAGAAAACCGGUUCUCAGCUGGUUUCUGAGAACUACAGCCUCUUCUCCUCAUCAUAACCGGAGAAGCAAUUCACUACACAAUUUCCAAAUACUCGUGUAUAUGUUUUCAAUCACAACUACGUUUUUAAAUAUUAGAUCAACAUAAGUGGUAGACACAGAAUGUAUUUCAUGUUUGAAGCCUGUUUCUAGCUAGAGUGGGAAUGAAUUAUUUUAUUGCAUAGGAUGUCUACGCAAGCCUCCUGAUUUGUGAUGUGUGCUUCUUCUUUAGACAGCUGCUCCUAGAAAUGUAUUACUCUUGUAUUAUAAAUGUAUUGCUCCUGUUGGUGGAUUUCAGACUCUACAGUGUAAUGACAUCAUACUCACAGAUGGGGGCAAAAGCCAGAAUUUACCAUUGAAAACAUUGUACUUUUAUAAGAAAUAUCUAAAAGGAAAAUGUGCAAAUGUUGAAUUGGAUCAUUUAUAUUUGUAAAUAAACCUUCAAACCAGCUAUAUUUCCAUUUUAACAAUAUUUAUUUGAGCUGCCCCCAUCUGUAUUAAACAAAAUUGACCAUUAGAAUGUUAUGAUAUCAUCUGAAACCCAGUAAUUAUGAGGUUACAGCUGAAUAGCAGAUCCUACUGUAACUCUUAUAAUACGCCAUCAUACAAGACCUAGUUAAAGAAAUUUUGUCUAUCUGUUUAUUUAUGAUUGUCCUUGUUGGUUCUUCUUGACUUAAAAUCUUUGACAAAAGGGGAGUUGCACAAGGCCGUUAUAGGAAGUUGUCAAAAACCUUAAAGAGCCUAUAUUAUGCUAUUUUUGAUUUAUGUUAUUAUGUUUCCUCAUCAAAAACAUACCUGAAGUUUAAAGAAAGACCCUGCUUAUUUAGGCUGAGCUCUUCUCUCAAACUGAAAACGCUCCAUCUUUUAACAGAGGAAGUGCUCCACUGUGUUUUUAAACUCCAUACACCUUCACUACAUUUUGCUCAUCUCUAAUAAACAAAAGGUAAAAAGAAAACUACCACUAUAUGACAUCACAAGGUGGAACGGAGCAUUUUGAGCUUUGGAGAGUUAGACAGACUAAUAAUGCAGGGCUACUCAAACAUGUAUGAAUGAAACGAAACACCAGAUAUGUUUUUUGGGAAGGUAACAGCAACAUUUUAAAGCUUACAAGAGUCAAUUUUGCGUAAUACAGGACCUUUAAAAUGUAAUAUAAGUUGACAUGUAACUUUGUGUUGUAGAACAUUUUAAAGGUGGAGUCUACUGCCACCAGUUCUGAUGCACUGUGUGUGUGUGUGUGUAGUCGCUUGAGUGAACAUGCUUGAAAAAGAUUUAUAUUUAUUUAGUUUUGUGUUGAUUAUAGACUAUAGAAUGUUACCAGAUUUUAACCUGCGCUAAAUGAAAUUGUCUAUGAAAUGAUAUAAGGCCAGCAAGUGUGCAAUACUACAGGUCUGUCCAUAUACUAUGCAUGUUUUACUACACGGCUUAUCCACAGACGCCGACUCACAUGCACAUUUUUUAAUAAACAUGAUUUAAAC